UGAAAGAUGCCAUAAGUGACCCCC
rnacentral:piRNA from 1 species